CCGUCUCCGAAGGAGGCGCGCGAGAGGGAGGGGUCUUCACUUUUCUUGCUGCGGGCCUCGCUUUCGGCAGCGUUUUCGUGCUGGUGCGUUCGAGGUUUCUGCUUGCGACUUGCUUGGACGGGUCUUCAUCUGGACAGUCUUUGCUGAUGACCUUCUCGAUUUUACUCUGGGCUAUUACAUACUCCAAUUUCCCCAAUUAGUAAGAGGAUUUAAGUUGGAUAAAGCUUUUGGGGGUUUCUUUGAUAUUUAUUUACAAAAAACGGCACAGAUGAAGGCAUGUACAAUAAACAGUCCAGUGAACAUCAGGAGGCUCAGGUUAAAGUAUGUUCUUUCCCUUCACUCCCAAAAUGGGACUUCAUUUCCUUCUACUUAAACCUUUUUGGAUUAAGUUUGUUUUGUUUUAAAUCACACAGGUUACCUACCUCAUUCUCAAAAUGGCAGGGGAAAAUGUCAAGUGACCUUUAUUUAUUCAUUGGAAUUACAUUAGAGUUACAUUCUGCCUUUCGUUCAGAAUCUCAAGGGUCUAUUUUGUUCUUGCUCCUAUUUUUCUCUGGAGCAGCUCAGAUAUGUUGGGCUGAGAGAGGGAUUGCACUGUCUAUCAUUUAUAACCCUAAGCCUGAUUUUGCAAUCCCUUCCUGUUUUUCCCCCCUGUACCUGCUAAAGGAAAAACAGAAUUGCAUAACCAGGUUUGGUUUGCCUGGACCUCCCUUUGUUCUACACUCAAUACAGUACAUUUCUGUUAAAAGGUUUCAGUGAACCAACCAAUGACUCAGCAGGAAGGGGCCAUGUUAAAUUAUUAUACAUGGUGCAAAUUAGACAGACUGUGUGGAAAUAACCAAUUGCACAAUGUUGUUUGUCCAGUAAUACUAGAACCAGCCACUAAAUCUUUCCAUUUUAGUAGUAAGGAUGGUAAAAAAUUACUUCUCAAAUUACCAUCACAUUCUAAAUGUGUUUUAGGAAACCAUAUUCCUCCCACUUUCCAAUAUAAAACAUGUUUUUUCUUGUCCUUAGUGCUCAGUAAGAAAUUAUUCACCAGCUAGAUUGAGCCACCAAGCUGAUAGCAAAAGUCUUAAUGACAGAAAUGCAUUCCAAAUGUAAUAGAACUCCUUUGAGUAUAUCCAAUUAAGAAUGAAAUCAUACAAUGUUUCAAAUUUGAUUGCAGUUUAAGCUCUUAAUAUCUAUAUUACCUUGGUGCCUAAUCCAAGGUUCUGCAGUUCUUUGUUAUGAAAAGUUAGUAGGGAAAAAAAUCACUUUUUCUUCUGCUGCUUAUGACUUUGCAAGUGGCAAUCUAUUCAUGUGACCUUGGACUGACUGCUAUUUCAAUGUCAGCCUCCCAAAGUUGGAACAAUCUUUUUAAGAUCAGGAAAUCUUAAUAUAUAGGCUUUCCUGCUUGAGCAAAGGGUUGGACUAGAAGACCUCCAAGGUCUCUUCCAGCUCUGUUAUUCUGUUAAUAUUGGAAUCUGUCCAGAAUUGUAACAGUGAUUGAUGGGUGUUACUCCAAAUCCAAUAGUUUCUGAACUGAGUGCUCUACAUUAUUUUAAAAAAUUAAAAAGAUCAGUGUUUUUUUAACCUUAGUGAUGUUAAUUCUGGAUUUCAACUUCCAGAGUUUUCCAACCAGCAUUCAACUCCUGGAGUUGAAAGCCACACAUCUUUAAAUUGUUGAGGUUGAGAAACAUUAAAGAUACACAUUUUAAAAAUAGUACGGUAAAUGUCAUUAAUUCACCUUUGUAUAAGUAAACAUAUGUGGGUUUUUUACAAUCACACAAUGGCCAGCUGGCUAUUUUACUGCAAUUGACAAACAUAUAAACAAGUCAAAAUAUAGGUGUAAUAGUUUAUUAAAAUAUUUGUCCCUUUUUGGAUUUUCUGCUUUUUGUAUCUUUGCCAUUGUUGGAUGACUUUAUUU